rnacentral:lncRNA from 1 species
GCCAGGGGUGCUGGUGCCGGAGGCGCUGGGGCUGGGCAACUGGGUGAAGGCGCAGGAGUGGGCGGCGCUCCCAGACGGGCAGGCGACGUACCUGGGCAACCCGGUGCCGUGGGGCAACCUGCCGACCAUCCUGGCGAUCGAGUUCCUGGCCAUCGCCUUCGCGGAGCAGCAGCGCACCAUGGAGAAGGACCCGGAGAAGAAGAAGUACCCCGGCGGCGCCUUCGACCCGCUCGGCUUCUCCAAGGACCCCGCCAAGUUCGAGGAGCUCAAGCUCAAGGAGAUCAAGAACGGUACGUCCCAGUCCCAUCACAUAUACCCCGUUAUCGAAUGAAGAAUCAUACGUAGAUAGAACAAGCUGACGCGUUCGUCCGUGGGGAAUGCAUUGCAGGGCGGCUGGCGAUGCUGGCGUUCGUGGGGUUCUGCGUGCAGCAGUCGGCGUACCCCGGCACCGGCCCGCUGGAGAACCUGGCCACGCACCUCGCGGACCCGUGGCACAACAACAUCGGCGACAUCGUCAUCCCCAGAAAUAUCUACGGCCCUUGAGCGGAGCCGACCGGGCUGAGAGGAGAUCGAGGAGCCGGAGCGCAUGGUUUUCAUUCAUGUUUCUGAGUCGAUCCAUUGGUUGAUCACCUUGCCACGCUGGCUCUGCGCGCGCACCGUCCGUGCGUGCUGGAACUGUACAACAACGUCGGCUCUCCGGCCGGCAACCUUUGUAAUGUGUAAAGCUUAAGUAGCGGCCGCUGUUGCGAAUGCAUCCGUGUGAUCUGUAUAAAUUCUUUGCAUGAUGAUGUGUACGGAUAGUUAUCACGUGAUCACCUUAACAUUUCAUUGAGCUUAGGACAUCCCCAACG